rnacentral:lncRNA from 1 species
CUCGUCUACUGAUAUUAUGUUUUAACAUCCGAUUAGUUUCCUUUUUGUGUCACUCAAUUCAUUAAAACUCAUCUCCACUCCUUUCUCCAAGUACUCGUUGUAAAUUUGCUACUAAAAACGUAGGAAUUUAAACACGUAUUGCCAUAAAGUAUUUGAAAUUUGAAAUUCAAAAUUUACUUACCUCUUGUUGCCAUCUUCCUUUAGUUCAGCAAAAAUCUU